rnacentral:rRNA from 1 species
AUUGAACGCUGGCGGCAUGCUUUACACAUGCAAGUCGAACGGCCGCGCGGGCUUCGGCCUGGUCGCGCGUGACGAACGGGUGAGUAAUGCACCGGAACGUGCCCAGCCGUGGGGGAUAGCACGGCGAAAGCAGGCUUCAUACCGCACCCGACAUGAGGGUGAAACCGGGGGACCGAAAGUGCUCGCGGUAUUGGAUGUGCCGUUGUCGGAUUUGCUAGUUGGUGGGGUAAAGGCUUACCAAGGCGACGAUCCGUAGCUGAUCUGAGAGGACGACCCGCCACACUGGGACUGAGACACGGCCCAGACUCCGACGGGAGGCAGCAGUGGGGAAUUUUGGACAAUGGGGGCAACCCUGACCCAGCAAUGCCGCGUGAGGGAAGAAGGCCUUCGGGUUGUAAACCGCUUUUGUUCGGGAAGAAAUACUCUGGGCUAAUACCCCGGGGGGAUGACGGUACCGGAAGAAUAAGCACCGGCUAACUACGUG